rnacentral:lncRNA from 10 species
CUCUCCCUCCUCCCUCCCCAUUCUCAGCAUCUGAGUGACAGCCAGAUACAAGGCAUGACCUUGCAUGGGAUCCUGAACCAAACAAACCAGCUGUGAGAGAGAUGUUUUAGGAUAAGGUGGAAAUCUGACGAUGGCUUAGGUCAUAGAUGACAUUAAGGAACUAUUGUUAAUUUUGUCAGACAUAAUAAUGGAGGGUGUUCAUGGAGAAAGACAUCACUUUUCAGAGAUGCAUGCUGAAGUUUUCGGGGUGAAAUAUGAUGCCUAGAAUUUAUAAUUCAUCAGCAAUAAAUAAAUAAAUAAAUAAAUAUAAAUAAACAUGGCAAAUAUUGUUUUUUCUCUUUUCUCUUUUUUUUUUUCCUAGUAGAGCAGCCAGCAAGGAGCAAGUAUUGUUAAAUCUAGGCAAUAGGUAAUUGUAUUCGUUUUUCAAAAAUAUUAUUUUUGGCUCAGUGUGGUGGCUCAUGCCUGUAAUCCCAGCACUUUGGGAGGCCGAGGCAGGCGGAUCACCUGAGGUCAAGAGUUCGAGACCAGCCUGGCCAACACGGCAAAACCCCUCCUCUACUAAAAAUACAAAAAUUAGCGGGGCAUGGUGGCAUAUGCCUGUAAUCCCAGCUACUCGGGAGGCUGAGGCAGGAGUAUCACUUGAGCCCGGGAGGCAGAGGUUGCAGUAAGACGAGAUCAUGCCAUUGCACUCCAGCCUGGGUGACAGAGCAAGACUUGGUCUCAAAAAAAAAAAAAAAAUUCUUUUUGGCCGGGCAUGGUGGCUCACACCUGUAAUCCCAGCACCUUGGGAGGCAGAGGUAGGUGGAUCUCUUGAGAUCAGGAGUUCAAGACCAGCCUGGCCAACAUGGUAAAACCCUAUCUCUACUAAAAAUACAAAAAUUAGCCAGGCAUGUGCCUGUAAUUCCAGCUACUCAGGAGGCUGAGACAUGAGAAUCACUUGAACCUGGAAGGUAGAGACUGCGGUGAGCUGAGAUUGUGCCACAGCCCUCCAGCCUGGUGACAGAGCAAGAUUCUGUCUCAAAAAUAAAAAAAUUAUUUUUACUUUUCU